UUAAAUUGAAGAGUUUGAUCAUGGCUCAGAUUGAACGCUGGCGGCAGGCCUAACACAUGCAAGUCGAACGGUAACAGAAAGCAGCUUGCUGCUUUGCUGACGAGUGGCGGACGGGUGAGUAAUGUCUGGGAAACUGCCUGAUGGAGGGGGAUAACUACUGGAAACGGUAGCUAAUACCGCAUAACGUCGCAAGACCAAAGAGGGGGACCUUCGGGCCUCUUGCCAUCGGAUGUGCCCAG
rnacentral:rRNA from 1 species